rnacentral:tRNA from 5 species
GAUGCUGUAGCCGCUGGUAGGGCAUAGGUUUGCAAAACCGAAGUUGGUGGUUCGAAUCCGCCCAGUAUCA